rnacentral:lncRNA from 1 species
ACGUCAAGAUUCUUAUCCAUGUGUUCCCGGUUUCUCUCAAUCGCGCAUGUUAAGUUGCUAACAUUUUGCCCCCAAUCAAAACUGAGGUCUAAAACAUACUACUCCCUCCGUCGCGAAUUAAGUGACGCAGGAGAGAAAUAUUUUGCACUAAUGUCAAUUUUACACUACAGUCCAGUACAUUUUAAAUUCUGACUUCAAGCUCCCCAGCCCCCUCGCGAUCCCCAGCACCUCGCCGGGGUAGGAUCUCGCCAGCACCUCCUCUUCCAGCGAGCUCACCUCAAGCUCCUGCUGGCGCCCCUCAGUUCUCCCUCCUCAAGCUGCUCGCGCUCAAGGCGCUCAAGGAGCUCAAGGCCCUCAAGCUCGCACUCCAGGAUCUGCUCGCCGGAGGUCCUUCUCCCCUGCCGCCGGUGGAGCUCCCUCCUCAAGCUCCCUCCUCAAGCUCCCUCAAGGUCCCGCUGCACGUUGGAGCCCCUCCCCGCCAGGAUCCUACUCGAACUCCAGGCUCUGCUCACCAGAGCUCCUUGUACCCCUGUCGCCGGUGGAGCUCCUGCUCCCCUUGCCCCACGGACCCUGCAAUUCACCGCACCUCCACCACACUCCAGGGUCCAGGCUGCUGCUGAACUCCAGGCUCCAGGCUCCUGCUGCUUCUCCUCGGCCACACCUGCAAUUCUUCUUGUGCAAAUUUAGAAGCAAUUUGAUGAUUCCAGCAGUAGCUCAAUUCUAGAGGUAUUCAAACUUUCCCUAACAUGAAAAAAUGGUUGCAUGCCUAAUUCAGAUGCAAGUUGAACAAGGAUUGACAAGACAAGUGGCUGGUAUAGUGAUAGCCCUGUUCAAGAAUUCGUCCGAUUAACCAGUUAACUUGUCGGUUAAUCCCUACUCAUGGGGUCACCGAGUAGCCGAUAAACUGAUAAAUCGUCCAAUUAAUUGAUUAAAUGACCGAUUAACUUGCUGAUUAGCCUAUUAAUCCCCUACUCGCCAGCCAACCGAGCAGCUACCAGUUAACGAUUUCCUCAAGAAUGAGUGAUAGUCAAAUUUAUGUUUGCUCGGCAAUCAAAAAGUGGAUCUGUUACAACAAUUUUCAAAGAGCCUAUGGUUCCUUUUUUCUGGAGUAUGAACAUUGAUGUUAUUCUCAAACACGAAAACCAGAAAUCAGCAACUUUAUAAAGACAUGUGUAGCCAGACGGGUGCAAAAAUGUUAAAAACCAGAAAUCAGCACCAUUCAAGUUCAUUCUACUCUUAGUUUAACACAAUGCCCUGCAGAUAAAAGAGAGAAAUAUGAAGGCUAAUUUGAAUUCUGCAGCUCAGACAUUACUGAAAGAAUACAUGCUGACCAUCUGGGCAUCAGGAAGAACAUAUAGAAGGAUACAACCACAAUACAAAUUGCUUGUCUGCACCUUGCAUGAACAUGUGGGAGAAUUUGACAACUGGAUUAUUUCAUUCCUUACACUAGACAUGACAGAUGAGUACACGACGGAAGCAAGAGAACAGUUGUAAUUUGUGAUUUGGACAUGCUUGUUAAAGUCAUUCAUGGAAAUAUGUCUAUAAAUUAGUAAAGGUAGAUUACCGGCAGCGAAGGAAGCAAUUUUCACCUUCAAAUGGCCUUGAUGUAUCCUUUCACCUUCAAAUGGUCUUGAUGUAUCCUUUCACCUUCAACCAAAUGAUCUGUUGUGUACACAGAAACAUUAGCAAUUUCUACUCCUCAUUUUUAGCGGACUGGAUCAAUUUUGUUUUUCUUCCUUAACAGAUUAUUACUCCAGCAGUUUGAAGCAACUGUUUCAAGCAGCAGUAGCAGCACAUACCUGCAAUAGCAACAGCAGCCAUGAACACCACCACCACCACCACCACCAGCAGCAACACCAGCACCAUCAGUAACCAAAACAUACCUGCAGGUAGUUUUCAAAACAUUCAGUUAAAUUUACUGUAAAAAUUCAGUAAACAUAUAGUAAAAUUUACUGAUUUGAUUUAACUGAGUUAACUGAGUUUUCAGUGUGGUUUUUCAGUAAACUGUUUAACUGAAAUAGCUAGAUGACUCUUUGCAUGAUUUAACCUCUACUUGCAAUGGCUAGAUGACUUACCCUUUGCUCCUUAUUUAACAGGAGACGAGAUGUUGCUGGAUGAGGAAGAAGCAAUUCAUCAGGAAGCAAUAAGAAUAACUUCAGUGAACCUGUCAGAUGAGGAAAGAUUGCUGUUUAUUUUGCUUUGAAAGUGAUCAAGAGCAGAGAUGGAGCUAUUCAGCCAGAGGACAAGAUACUCAUUGCAAGCCUAAUGAAUACAGGCAUACGAACGGUUGAAAGAAUAUGGAAAGAUGCAAAUAAACAAAAUGUAGAAGGCAAAGAAGUGGUUGUCGCAAGGAAAAAAUCAGGUAGAGUUGGAAGAAAGAGAAAGAACUUGGAUCUGUCAAGGGCAUCGACAAUCCCACUCAACAGAAGGAGAACAGUUCGAGCUCUAGCAAGGUCUCUUGGUAUUCCCCGCUCGACCCUACACAGGAGGUUCCAGUUAGGUGAGCUGAAGCGUGUCACUAGCACCGUGAAGCCUACCCUCAAGCCAAAUAAUAAGAUUGCAAGACUGAAAUUUUGCACGUCCAUGCUCGAUGAGCUUUGGAUCUCAACUUCACGUCCUCUUUUCAAGCCAAUGACAGACAUGGUCCAUAUAGAUGAGAAGUGGUAUGAUAUGACAAGAGUGAAGAAUACGUACUAUCUACUCCCAGAAGAAC